rnacentral:rRNA from 1 species
AGUGAACGCUGGCGGUAGGCCUAACACAUGCAAGUCGAACGGCAGCACAGUAAGAGCUUGCUCUUACGGGUGGCGAGUGGCGGACGGGUGAGGAAUACAUCGGAAUCUACUUUUUCGUGGGGGAUAACGUAGGGAAACUUGCGCUAAUACCGCAUACGACCUACGGGUGAAAGCAGGGGAUCUUCGGACCUUGCGCGAUUGAAUGAGCCGAUGUCGGAUUAGCUAGUUGGCGGGGUAAAGGCCCACCAAGGCAACGAUCCGUAGCUGGUCUGAGAGGAUGAUCAGCCACACUGGAACUGAGACACGGUCCAGACUCCUACGGGAGGCAGCAGUGGGGAAUAUUGGACAAUGGGCGCAAGCCUGAUCCAGCCAUACCGCGUGGGUGAAGAAGGCCUUCGGGUUGUAAAGCCCUUUUGUUGGGAAAGAAAAGCAGCAGGUUAAUACCCCGCUGUUCUGACGGUACCCAAAGAAUAAGCACCGGCUAACUUCGUG